rnacentral:rRNA from 1 species
CCCAGACUCCUACGGGAGGCAGCAGUGAGGAAUAUUGGUCAAUGGGCGGGAGCCUGAACCAGCCAAGUCGCGUGGGGGAAGACGGCCCUACGGGUUGUAAACCUCUUUUGUCGGGGAGCAAAGAGAGUCACGUGUGACUCAUUGAGAGUACCCGAAGAAAAAGCAUCGGCUAACUCCGUGCCAGCAGCCGCGGUAAUACGGAGGAUGCGAGCGUUAUCCGGAUUUAUUGGGUUUAAAGGGUGCGCAGGCGGGGGUGCAAGUCAGCGGUCAAAUUGCUGGGCUCAACCCCGUACUGCCGUUGAAACUGCAUCCCUUGAGUGCGCGAGAAGUAUGCGGAAUGCGUGGUGUAGCGGUGAAAUGCAUAGAUAUCACGCAGAACUCCGAUUGCGAAGGCA